rnacentral:rRNA from 1 species
CACGUAGGGCGCAAGCGUUGUCCGGAAUUAUUGGGCGUAAAGAGCUCGUAGGCGGUCUGUUGCGUCCGCUGUGAAAACUCGGGGCUUAACCCCGAGCCUGCAGUGGAUACGGGCAGACUAGAGGUAGGUAGGGGGAGAAUGGAAUUCCCGGUGUAGCGGUGAAAUGCGCAGAUAUCGGGAGGAACACCGGUGGCGAAGGCGGUUCUCUGGGCCUUACCUGACGCUGAGGAGCGAAAGCGUGGGGAGCGAACAGG